rnacentral:rRNA from 1 species
UACGAAGGGGGCUAGCGUUGUUCGGAAUUACUGGGCGUAAAGCGCACGUAGGCGGAUGUUUAAGUCAGGGGUGAAAUCCCGAGGCUCAACCUCGGAACUGCCCUUGAUACUGGCCAUCUCGAGUCCGGAAGAGGUUAGUGGAAUUCCCAGUGUAGAGGUGAAAUUCGUAGAUAUUGGGAAGAACACCAGUGGCGAAGGCGGCUAACUGGUCCGGUACUGACGCUGAGGAGCGAAAGCUAGGGGAGCAAACGGG